rnacentral:sRNA from 1 species
GCCAUAUCCAUUCAGGUCUUUUAACAAUAUAUUGCAAUAUUGCUUUCAUGCCAAUGCGAGUUCUGCCUGGCCUAAUGGAAGAGAGCAGGUUAUCACUUUUAUCACUUCCAUCAUUAUCUUCAACCCGAAAUAUUUGCGAGAGAAAGUGGCGUAUUCAAAAGGAACAACACCCAUUGGCUAUAUCCGAGGGCGAAGGCCUUGAUCCAUGUGAAGAUAAGCGCGUCGGAGAAGCCGGAGAGGAGCGAGAGAAAGAGCACAAUUGGUUCGUAGACAAGCAUAUGGAACGGUCGUAUCCAAACGAAAUGGGCCAGUUGCACAACACCACCGAAAAUUAGCUGGACCCAGAAGAUCAUCUGCCAGGAAAGGUAGUAUUCGAUAAAAGCGCCGAAGAUGGGGCCGAUAGCUGAGCCUGCAACGGAGGACAGGACGACAUACGCGACCGCAAAGCCUUUGUCUUUUGGCUCCCACAUAUCGGUAGUCAUGUCCAGUGUCACCGAGCCACCAGCCGACUCGUGGCUGUGAAAGUUGUCAACAAGGUAAGUUAAUCAAUGAAGUACCAUGUAAGCUGGAAAGGGGUAGGAAUAUUUGUGAGAGUAGGAAGAGAAGGCAAGAUUGUGGUUUCAAGUGAUUGCCCCAUAUAGGUACGCUAUCGGCGGAGAAGAUCUGACAAUGGUAUGGCAAUUAUCUAUACCAAGGGAAGAACGGCCGUUUUUCUUACCUCCCGGGUCUUCUCAAUGCAAAGUAAAGCGCAGCUAUCGUCGAUACUAAGAAGCCAUUUUCAUUGCUAGUCCUAUGCAAAAUGUUGCUAUAAACAAUAUAAAUACUCACUUGGCCCAAUUCACAACAUACUGAAUAAUCGAAAUUCUCAUUCUAUUCAUUUAUUCAUCCAUUCAUCCCCCAAAUCUAUUUCAUGAUCUUGAAAACGAAAUAUCAAACAAACAUCUGAGAAAAGGAUGGGCGAGAGCCACCAACAACGCCCAUCCUCCCAAAACUUUCCACAUCAACGAUAUGAUUACUCCAAAAUCGCAAUCCUUCAAUCCCUUCCUCUCGACAGAGCACUCCUUGAUCUUCAGCCAUCUCCAGUUCUUCCGCAGCGACACCGACACUCCAUCCGAACCGCUCCGCGGCCUCUUGAGCUGUGACGCCUCUGCCAUACAUGCGCCAAUCCCAAGAAAGAACCUCGUCAGAUGCAGGUGUAGCACGUAAUUCUUCAAACCAUGCCUGCAGUUGCCCAAUGGUCUUCUCAUCCGUCCAAUCAAAACGCUGGACGACAAGAAGGCCGCUUUUGAACCGACGUAGGCGUACGGGGAGCUUCAGCUUUUCCCACAACUCGGCAGCCUUUUGGAAAUCGGACGGGCUCACGAGUUCGACGCCAUUGCGACUGCGAUUGAACACAGCCCACAGGUCGAUUAGACUCAUGAUACCGCCUUCGCGGUGGAGGAUGCCUUUGUGAUCAUCUGUCAGGUACUCUGCGAGGUUGCGAGAGAGCUCACUGAGAUAUAGAGUUUCCGAACUGCCUCCCGGUCCUAGCAUGUCCUUCGUAAUAGUCAUACCAAGGGCAGCAGCGGAUUGCGAUAGGACGGCGCUUGCUUCGGGUGAACUGCUGCCCUUUGACGCAAGGCCAGAUUCCGCAGCAAAACUUUCAGCCAGCGCGACAAUUUCCUUAGCUGAUGCCAUAAGCGCUUCCAGAUCCUCGAAGGCACUGCCAAGGACAACUUGGUUGUUCUGUCGUGCCUCGAGGUCACGGCGCUCGAGCCCUGCAAUCCCAACUGCAGGACGCAAGGAACGUUGGCCAAAUACUUUGGAGUCGCUUCCUGGUACGGAAGAUGCCGGGGGAGGGGUAGCCUUCGGGACCGGUGGGGCAUCAUGGAGAAUCCAUUUUCGCUGCACCAAGGCAUUUCUUAGCCUUUCAUGAAAUAUCUUCUCACCACCUCCGCGGAAGGACAACUUGACGCUCUCAUACACUUCGGUGUUAUCUAGGUUGGUUGUUCCAAACAAUGGAGCUGGGGAGCCCGAACGAUCUAGGUUUUGGACGCCAGCAGGGUGAUCUAGUCUUUUGAGGGACGCGCCACAUAUUUCACACUCUAAUAAGGAAGGGUGAUUUGCGAAGGUACAUCUUGGGCAAGCAACCUCUGAAUCGAUUGACGAAGAAGGGAAAUGGGAGGAGUUGACGGGGGAUAACGAGGCCCCAUUUCUUCCAGGUCUACUCGAACCACCUUGGUUUCCUUGUGGCGAAGUGGAUGUCGAAGAAGUGCUCUGCGCUCCACUCCUAGCUGCAGACGUAAUUGCUGCUUUCAAAAGGGUGGUAAACGGAGGUUUUAUACCGCAAGCCAGGCAUGGUGGCUGCGUCAUCGAGGCAUUCGCAGUUGCAGGAUCAAAAUUCAAUGGAAGGGGAUUUGAAUAUGUACAUAUUGGGCAAACCCAUGUUGCAUUAGAGAUUCUCGUGGCAGAAGCACUUUGUGAGUGAAACGGACUGCCACUCCUGACGAAUGGUGAAGAUGGUUUUCCUGGUGAGCCAGACUUUGGUCCUUGAGGGGUGAUCAACUCUCCGGUUGAGUUACGAUUUUGACCACGGCCCCGUCUCGAUGGCUUUGGGUAUAUCGUUAUUUUGGGCGAUGAUUUCAAGAAACCAGCCUGAUAUUCAACGCGAUCUACAUAUUUCAACUCCAUCGCAACUGAGUAUUUUCGAGGCUGGUCAUCGUCAACAUAGCAUAUCCGAUGCGAUGUGAGAUAGGCAUGGCCGGACUGGUAAUUCGGAAUCUUGUACUUCCUGAAUGCGGGGAAUGGGUUAGGUCGCUGCGCUAUGCGUUCUGAUUUUCAGUAACAUUUCCAAACUUACCCUUCAUACAACCCCACCUGAUCUUGUACAAAGAGAAGAGUCUCAUCUGGCAACAGUGACGGGCGGAGUGCAGUGGUCAGAUCCAAGGCGUUGAAGAACAUCUAGCCAGGCUGUAUGAAGGACGGGGACAUGUGCAUCAUUUUCAGAGCUCGCCAAAUGCAGUUACACCAUUGUGUGACCGAAUCGG